GACAGAGGGUGCAAACGUUUGUUCGGAAUUACUGGGCGUAAAGCGCGUGUAGGCGGCCAUGCAAGUCGGAUGUGAAAGCCCUCGGCUCAACCGGGGAAGUGCACUCGAAACUGCAAGGCUAGAGUCUCGGAGAGGAUCGUGGAAUUCUCGGUGUAGAGGUGAAAUUCGUGGAUAUCGAGAGGAACACCGGUGGCGAAGGCGGCGAUCUGGACGAUGACUGACGCUGAGACGCGAAAGCGUGGG
rnacentral:rRNA from 1 species